GCGAUCGUAGCUCAGUGGUUAGAGUACCGGAUUGUGGUUCCGGGGGUCGCGGGUUCGAGUCCCGUCGUUCGCCCCA
rnacentral:tRNA from 1 species